CUGUUCCCUGCUCCUCAGAUCUCUGCAGGCAUCCACUGGACCCACAGUUUAGAGAGAGAAAAGAAAACACUGUCAAAGAGAACAAAAGAUUCAGAAACAAGGCUGCAUCUCUAAUAAGAAGGCAAAAGAAUCGUACCUUGAAUAUGACAUCGGAAGUGUUCAGCCCAAAGGUGAACAAGAACAUACUAUGCAGGUACAAUAACAAAAGCAACAGGUGAACCACCUGUAUGAUCAUGGUGACCUCAGCAGCUGGAGGAAUGGACACUUCACGAAGAGCCACCACUCUGUCAUCUGCAACAGAUACAACAUGAGAUCAUGCUACCACUUUUUAAUAUGUCACUAUUUAAAAAGUGUUUAUAUGUUGUUUUUACAUUCAUCUGCUGUAAGAGGAAAGUUUGUCUAUGCUCACCUUAAAUCUUUCUGUUUCAAAUGUGAACACAAGAACAUGAUUUUGUGACAUCACAACUAUUGUAAGCAAAUCACACUGCAGUACACAAGUGUGAUGUGGAAACGUCA